UACGAAGGGUGCAAACGUUGCUCGGAAUUAUUGGGCGUAAAGGGAGUGUAGGCGGCUUGUUAAGUCUUCUGUGAAAUCUACGGGCUCAGCCUGUAACGUGCAGAGGAAACUGGCGAGCUUGAGUGUCGGAGAGGAUAGGGGAAUACCCGGUGUAGAGGUGAAAUUCGUAGAGAUCGGGUGGAACACCAGUGGCGAAGGCGCCUAUCUGGCUGACAACUGACGCUGAGACUCGAAAGCAUGGGGAGCAAACAGG
rnacentral:rRNA from 1 species